UAAACAAAUACAAGAGGAGAUGGUGAGUACAUGAGAAAAGCAACAAAGUGAAAAUAACGUUCUAUUGGACAUUCUUUAAUUUUAGAACAAGAAUUGUGACUGAAGGGGAAUUCCAGAUUGGUGUAGUCAUAGCUGUACUGUUUGUGUUAUUACCCUGUCAUAGUAAUGGUUUGUAUCUGGCACUAAGCAGGAGUGAACUAUGAAUGGGUGUUGUGCCUCACAGCUUGGUUUCAGUUCAGGGAAAAUAUAACUUAAAUUACCACCACAUUAACUGAGGCAGCAGAGACAGACGGGACAAAGUAACAGACACCCUCUUCAUUGAGUUGAAUUGAGUUCAGGAUAAACAACAGAGGAAAAGUACAUCAACAUGAUGUCUUCAGCUGCUGAUAAGCCAGAUUGUGAGCCGAUGGUGGUUACUGUUGGGUUCUUGACGUUGAUCAUUGGAAUCGCUGUUGGAGUGAAACUGAAGGUGGCCACAGACCGGUUCGUUCAACAACAUCUAUGGAAGGUUUAUGUCUUUGUCCCUGUUUUUGUUGUUGCUUCUAUCAUGGUGGUUCUGAACUUGAAGAAACAGGAAGUAUAGAGGGAUACUGAAGCAUGACUCCUACAAUUAGCAAACACUUCUCUGUCAGUCACACAAAACUAUUGAAUGAAUGACUGAUUUGUACAUUUGUUAUACAUAGCAAUAAAAUACUUUUCCAAAAUGCAUGUGUCCAUUGUUGAUGGAAAGGGGUGGCUGGUAACCUAGCUGUUGAGAUUGUUGGGCCAGUAACUGAAAGGUCGCUGGUUUGAAUCUCCAACCAAGCCAAAUGUGAAAAAAUCUGCCGAUGUGCCCUUGAGCAAGGAACUUAACCCUAAUUGCUCUUGUAAAUCGCUCUGGAUAAGAGCGUCUGCUAAAUGACUGAACUGUAAACAACGUUUUGAAAAAGUGAUUUAUGGUAGGCUAGAUGUAUUUGUCUAAGAUUGUAUUUGUCAUCCCAUUUGAAUGUGACUAAGAUCCCUUUCCAUCUCUGGCCAUCUCUGUGUGUACUCGUACUUUUCUUGUACUUUGUCGAUGUGUGUGAUUUAUAAUUGUAAGUGCCUUAUUGAUCAGUUGAAAAUGUACUUAAUAAUAUGUUUUUGUAACCAAUUGCAUGUGUCACUUCAACUCAUUUGUUUCUGCUCAUCAACAUGUCAGUAUCUUCUGGGCUGAUUAAACCAAAUAAUAAAACAGAUUUUAACUAA